rnacentral:rRNA from 1 species
GACAGAGGGUGCAAACGUUGUUCGGAAUUACCGGGCGUAAAGCGCGUGUAGGCGGCCCUGCAAGUCGGAUGUGAAAUCCCACGGCUCAACCGUGGAAGUGCAUUCGAAACUGCAGGGCUAGAGUCCUGGAGAGGAAGGUGGAAUGCUUGGUGUAGAGGUGAAAUUCGUAGAUAUCAAGCGGAACACCGGUGGCGAAGGCGGCCUUCUGGACAGUGACUGACGCUGAGACGCGAAAGCGUGGGGAGCAAACAGG